rnacentral:lncRNA from 1 species
CGCGGUGUAGCCCCCAAUUCGGACAAUCUCUGCAGCCGGUCGCAAGCCCCAAAGAGAAGCGCUGGCGCCCGCCAGAUAAGGAGGAGAGCUCCGCCGUCGGUGC